rnacentral:tRNA from 1 species
GAGGGUAUAGCUCAAGUGGUAGAGCUCAUGCUUAGCAUGCAUGAGGUCCUGGGUUCAAUCCCCAGUACCUCCA